rnacentral:lncRNA from 1 species
CAACUUGCCAGCGCCCAAUACUGUCUUCAAGUGUGUCCAAUCGAUACCAAAUUAGGAGCAUGGAACCCCAAAGCUGUGAGGCAACUCUAGAGCUCUUGUGUGAUUUAUGGUGUCAACAAGGUAUAUUUACGAGAAUACCAAAUCCAUUUUUGUUAUUAUCCUCAUCACUAUCUCUUAAGACUUCCGUGUAACUGAGAUAAUUCUAGAAAUCUUGCACAAAUCCUGUAGCUGUGGUGGUAUGGGGAUUAGAGAAUUUUGUGCUGGGAGUAAUUACCAAUUUGAAUUCUCAUGGAGAGAUGGUGUGUG